UACGGAGGGUGCGAGCGUUGUCCGGAAUCACUGGGCGUAAAGGGCGCGUAGGCGGCUUCUCUAGCGUGUGGUGAAAGUCCGGGGCUCAACCCCGGGCGUGCAGUGGAUACGGGCUGGCUGGAGGCAGGCAGGGGAGAACGGAAUUCCUGGUGUAGCGGUGAAAUGCGCAGAUAUCAGGAGGAACACCGGUGGCGAAGGCGGUUCUCUGGGCCUGUACUGACGCUGAGGAGCGAAAGCGUGGGGAGCGAACAGG
rnacentral:rRNA from 1 species